UACGGAGGAUCCGAGCGUUAUCCGGAUUUAUUGGGUUUAAAGGGUGCGUAGGCGGCCUGUUAAGUCAGGGGUGAAAUCCCGAGGCUCAACCUCGGAACUGCCUUUGAUACUGGAGAUCUUGAGUCCGGAAGAGGUAAGUGGAACUGCGAGUGUAGAGGUGAAAUUCGUAGAUAUUCGCAAGAACACCAGUGGCGAAGGCGGCUUACUGGUCCGGAACUGACGCUGAGGUGCGAAAGCGUGGGGAGCAAACAGG
rnacentral:rRNA from 1 species